AAAACAAGAUCAUAUUGAAUAUUGCCUCUUAGUUUCCAAAGAGCUCAUAUGCUACACUAUAUAGAGAUGUUAAAAAUGUUUUAAAAGUUACAUUUAAGGGACACAACUUUACCAAGGCUGAGUUUAAACUGCCUUUUCCCUAAAUUGAAAACAAGAUCAUAUUUGAAUAUUGUCUCUGAGUUUGAGUGUUCAUAGUGUUAUGUAGUAUGUAUUUAACUUCCUGUUAUCCUUUCAGUCAUUCACCCUCACUUGUUUACAAACUCCCCCAAUGUCAUCUUAGAAUCCCAAAACCCCCAAUACCAUUUAACUGCAUCUAAGCCUUGACCAUAAAAAGACCAACCCUCAGUGACGUCAGCUAACUUCAUGGAAGAAGUAUGACUCACACUCCAGCCCCAGUCACUUGCCCAGAGCAUCACCACACCCCAUAUACCAGAGAAAGUGUGAUAGACAGUGACCUGUAGACCAAUCAGAACAAGUUUAGAUCACUCCCACUUAAAAUAGUUACACCCCAAAACAAAGGAUAUAAAUAAGACUUCUUGAUUAUUAGAGAAUGGAGAGAAUACAAUAGAAUACUAGAACGACACUCAUCCAGAUAGACUGACUGACUUCAAGACUUAGACGUCCAUCGAAUAUUAUAUAAACUUCACUCCGAAUCUCAAUCUGAUACUUCUAAAUUAUUUUAUAUUCAUCGUCUCCUGUUAUAUCUGAAUCUUCAUGUACUUCGAACUGUAGCUGAAUAUUGAUAAUUAAAUACUUUGUGAUUUGAACUGUA